UGACUUGACUUUCCGGUCCGCGGCGGAACCCUGUACGUGACCUCAGGUCUGGACUUCCUAACUCCUGAAAGAGAAGCUAAAACACCAGGAAUACAAGCAACCUAGAUCUUAUGAGGAAAGAUGGUCACCAGCCCUGGAGGAAGCUGGCUAUCACAUCCUGGGAGCCUUCAGCAGCUCAACAGAGAGGCCA